UCCCAGGUGGCUCAUUGGUAAAGAGUGUGCCUGCCAAUGCAGGAGACCCAGGUUCAAUUCCUGGUUCAGGAA
rnacentral:tRNA from 1 species